CAACGAAGGGUUCGGCAGCACCGAGGAAGCAAGUGAGAAAGGUUCCCAUAACUCUGAGGAACGUAUGUAAGGCGAUGAAGGGUUCAGCAGCACCAGGGAAGGUAAGUGUUAAG